rnacentral:rRNA from 1 species
ACUCCUACGGGAGGCAGCAGUGAGGAAUAUUGGUCAAUGGGCGCAAGCCUGAACCAGCCAAGUAGCGUGAAGGAUGACUGCCUAUGGGUUGUAAACUUCUUUUAUAAAGGAAUAACCAACAGUACGUGUACUGUUCUGUAUGUACUUAUGAAUAAGCAUCGGCUAACUCCGUGCCAGCAGCCGCGGUAAUACGGAGGAUGCGAGCGUUAUCCGGAUUUAUUGGGUUUAAAGGGUGCGUAGGCGGUACAUUUAAGUCAGCUGUGAAAGUUUGAGGCUCAACCUUAAAAUUGCAG